rnacentral:rRNA from 1 species
GAUGAACGCUGGCGGCGUGCCUAAUACAUGCAAGUCGAGCGAACAGACGAGGAGCUUGCUCCUCUGACGUUAGCGGCGGACGGGUGAGUCACACGUGGAUAACCUACCUAUAAGACUGGGAUAACUUCGGGAAACCGGAGCUAAUACCGGAUAAUAUAUUGAACCGCAUGGUUCAAUAGUGAAAGACGGUUUUGCUGUCACUUAUAGAUGGAUCCGCGCCGCAUUAGCUAGUUGGUAAGGUAACGGCUUACCAAGGCAACGAUGCGUAGCCGACCUGAGAGGGUGAUCGGCCACACUGGAACUGAGACACGGUCCAGACUCCUACGGGAGGCAGCAGUAGGGAAUCUUCCGCAAUGGGCGAAAGCCUGACGGAGCAACGCCGCGUGAGUGAUGAAGGUCUUCGGAUCGUAAAACUCUGUUAGUAGGGAAGAACAAAUGUGUAAGUAACUAUGCACGUCUUGACGGUACCUAAUCAGAAAGCCACGGCUAACUACGUG